CCGGCGGACGGGUGCGUAACGCGUAUGCAACCUGCCUGACACAGGGGGAUAAUCCGAAGAAAUUUGGUCUAAUACCCCAUAAUACCGAUAUAGGCAUCUAUGUUGGUUGAAAGCUUUGGUGGUGUCAGAUGGGCAUGCGUUGUAUUAGCUAGUUGGUGAGGUAACGGCUCACCAAGGCGACGAUACAUAGGGGGACUGAGAGGUUAACCCCCCCACACUGGUACUGAGACACGGACCAGACUCCUACGGGAGGCAGCAUG
rnacentral:rRNA from 1 species